UUUAUAUGUGUACUUUCAUAUGGAUUGUUAAACAGAAGUGCUUAGAAUAUCAUUUUAUGUUUGAAUAAUGAUAUAUUUUUUGGGAAAACACCAAUAGAGACAUCCCAUUAAUGGUUAAUGUCACAAAAUUUUUCCCUUUGCAAUUCACAAUGAGUCACAUUCAGCAAAGAAUAUCUAAGGUCUUUUUCUUAUUUAGUAUUUUUGUCCCCUCUAUGGGACAACUCACGCACAAGGAGCAAAGUUUAGCGCUUAUUUAUGAUUGGGCAAUAUAACUUUUUCUAGCACUCACUUGCAGUCAAUUGUAAUCGCUGGGAGUAGUGGAAUAUAUGCAGAGACAUUGAGAAAUCAUCCAUACAAUGCAAAGAGUGUUAGAAUGUUAGAUUGACUUUGCAUGAACAGUGCAGGUUGUCUCUACCCUGCAAUUAGUCUUAUUAUAGCCUGAUGUUUUACGUUUUAAUUUGAGGGA
rnacentral:misc_RNA from 1 species